AAGAAGGUUUACUACAAAAAGAAGUUCCAUUCCUCUUUAUGUUGCUGGGCUUCAGUAUUUUGUGGUGCAUCAGAUGUUGGCCUUGUGCUCCUUUUCACUACUGGGAAAAUUGAAAUAAGGUCUCUGCCAGACUUAUCAUUAAUAAGGGAAUCCUCAAUGAGAGGUUUCACUUAUGCUUCACCAAAGCUGAACUCCUUGCCAGAUAGUUCAAUAUGUUGUUCACAUGAUGGAGAAGUUGUUAUGGUGAAUGGUGAUCAAGAAAUGUUUUUGGUAUCAGUUUUGCUUCAAAAUGA
rnacentral:misc_RNA from 1 species